rnacentral:rRNA from 1 species
GACGAACGCUGGCGGCGUGCUUAACACAUGCAAGUGGAGCGACGAAACGGGCUUCGGCCCGUGGCAAAGCCGCGAACGGGUGAGUAACACGUGGGUAACCUGCCCCGAUGACCGGGACGAACCCGGGAAACCCGGGCCUAAUACCGGAGUGUGGUCCUUCCACCAGUGAGUGGAAGUACUAAAGGUAGCUUCGGCCUCCGCAUCGGGAUGGGCCCGCGGCGCAUUAGGCUUGUUGGUGGGGUAAUGGCCUACCAAGGCGACGAUGCGUAGCUGGUCUGAGAGGACGAUCAGCCAC